UGCCAAUCCUUCUCUUUUUUUUUGCAGAGGAAGACUGGCCCUGGGCUAACAUCUGUGCCUAUCUUCCUCCACUUUUUAUGGGAUGCUGCCACAGCAUGGCCUGACACACAGUGCCUCGGUGCAUGCCCGGGAUCCAAACCCGGGCCGCCAGCAGCAGAGCAUGAGCACUUAACAGCUAAGCCACGGGGCCAGCCCCCAAAGCAAGCCUUUCAGACGUAUUGUUUUGAAUGCGAGAGGAGCGGAGUUUCAGGUCCCAUAUAAAAGAAUUUGCUGAUCCCUGCUCUAAACAAUAAAGUUUUUAUUUCAUUCUUAAACGGUAUGUAAAUAACAGCCAAAGCAGCUUAAAGUAGAGCAAUAUGGCUUCUGUGAGAAUUGAAAAUGGAUAUUUUAUUCACAGUAAAUUAGUGAUGACAAAUUUGAUGCAACCUUUUGAUUAGCUCUUUAUUAUAUAUCAAAUUCAGAAUCUGUGACUUUGGUUUACAUCUCACUUUAUCAAUGACUUUACAUAUGCAUGUGGUAAAAUUUCUUAUUGUUAGAGAAAUUUAAAUGAUUGAGGAGAUUUCUAGAACCACAUCAGGAAGAGGUACCUAUUAGAAAAUGAACCCAUUACAACAUUCCUGAAAGAGUAUGAAUAUAAGGAGUAGAUUCUUUCUCAUUCAAGAUUUAUCGAGCACCAAUCUCUUCACUGCAGUUGACAAUAGGGAUGGAGAUUGGGCAGUUUCAGUGGAAGAAAGAGGAGUAAUUUCUUUGUGCCAGAUAGUGUUUAAUUGUUUUAUAUAUAGUAUCUUGUUUGUCUAAGUGCAAGAUGCUGCUUAUACUCUGAACUUGAAAACAACAAAUCAACAACAUAUCAUACACUCCUCCCCAACUUUGUUUAAGAAAACACAUACCAUAAUGAAAAUGAGAAUAUGAGAAGAAGCUAUUCUGUAUUUAUUAUUGUGUGUUUGCUCUAAAUAGAGAAAAAUAAUUAAAAGAAAACAAAACAGAAAGUAUAAUGCUAAUCCAUUUAUGGAAACAGAAUUUUAAAAUGACCCCUAAGAUUCUGGCCUCCUAGGAUAUACACCUUGUAUAAGCCCUUCCCAUGACUGAGGGCAGAAUUUGUGACUAUGAUUGGAUCUCUAUCCCAUAACAAUGCUAUAUCAUACAGCAGAAGAGAUUUUGUAGAUUUAGUUAAGAUCCCAAAUGGGUUGAUUUUGAGUUAAUAUAAAGGGAUUUUCCUAGGCGGGAAUGACCUUAUCAAGUGUGUCCUUAAAAAAGUCCGGACUGUUCCUAAAGAAGAGAUUCAAAGUGUUAAAAAGCCUACAGAAGGGCAUGUGGCAAGGAGCUGUGGGUGGCCUCCCGGACCUGAGAGUACCAAUGAGCAAGAGAAUGGGGGCCUCAGUUCACAAGGAAUAGAAAUAACAACCAUCUGAUUUUUAAAGAGGACCUUGGUUUUCAGAAAUGAAUGCAGCCAACUGACAUCUAGAUUGCAGCCUUGUGGGACCUGGUAAGACACCAGGUAACCCAUGCUCAGAAUUCUGAUACACGGACACUGUGAGAUAAUAAAUGUGCAUAGUUUAAGCUGCUAAGUUUGUGGUAAUUCAUUACAUAGCAACAGAAAAACUAAUACACUAUUGAAAAUGGAAAUAGGCUUUUAUCCAUAUUCUUAAAAUAUUGCUUACCUUUAACUUUCAGUAAUUCUUUGAGAAUUUUUUUGUUGGUAAGACUUAAAAAAUGUAUGCAAGUGGUUAAUGAGCUUUUUAUUAUCCUACAUGAAUCCUAGUUAGUUUUGAGUAUCACGUACAUGCAGAUUUUAUCUUUAAAUAAAGCAAAUGUGAUUGUUGA